UUAACAAUUUCGAUGGAUCGGUAUAUCUGGAAGUUCUACAGCAGCCCAGUAUCCAGCACGAGGCGGUGAUGUGUGUCGAACGUUCUAACUGUUGGAUGACUCCGUACAUAGAAUAUCUGGCAGAUGGCGUCCUUCUUUCGGAUAAAAUGUUGGCCAAAAAGGUUAAGUACAAGAGUGUUAAUUUUGUUCUCAUUGAUGGAGAUCUUUUUCGAAAAGCUUUUUCAUCUC
rnacentral:lncRNA from 1 species